rnacentral:rRNA from 1 species
GCAAGUCGAACGGCAGCAUGAUCUAGCUUGCUAGAUUGAUGGCGAGUGGCGAACGGGUGAGUAAUACAUCGGAACGUGCCCUGUAGUGGGGGAUAACUAGUCGAAAGAUUAGCUAAUACCGCAUACGACCUGAGGGUGAAAGUGGGGGACCGCAAGGCCUCAUGCUAUAGGAGCGGCCGAUGUCUGAUUAGCUAGUUGGUGGGGUAAAGGCCCACCAAGGCGACGAUCAGUAGCUGGUCUGAGAGGACGAUCAGCCACACUGGGACUGAGACACGGCCCAGACUCCUACGGGAGGCAGCAGUGGGGAAUUUUGGACAAUGGGCGAAAGCCUGAUCCAGCAAUGCCGCGUGUGUGAAGAAGGCCUUCGGGUUGUAAAGCACUUUUGUCCGGAAAGAAAUGGCUCUGGUUAAUACCUGGGGUCGAUGACGGUACCGGAAGAAUAAGGACCGGCUAACUACGUGCCAGCAGCCGCGGUAAUACGUAGGGUCCAAGCGUUAAUCGGAAUUACUGGGCGUAAAGCGUGCGCAGGCGGUUGUGCAAGACCGAUGUGAAAUCCCCGAGCUUAACUUGGGAAUUGCAUUGGUGACUGCACGGCUAGAGUGUGUCAGAGGGGGGUAGAAUUCCACGUGUAGCAGUGAAAUGCGUAGAGAUGUGGAGGAAUACCGAUGGCGAAGGCAGCCCCCUGGGAUAACACUGACGCUCAUGCACGAAAGCGUGGGGAGCAAACAGGA